rnacentral:rRNA from 1 species
UACGAGUGCCUCAAGCGUUAUCCGGAAUUAUUGGGCGUAAAGGGUGCGCAGACUGUCGCGUUAGUCUCUUGUUAAAGCCUACGGCUCAACCGUAGAUCUGCAAGGGAAACGGCGCGACUUGAGAGCAUGAGGGGUCUAUGGAACUCUAGGUGUAGGGGUGAAAUCCGUUGAUAUCUAGGGGAACACCAAAAGCGAAGGCAAUAGACUGGCAUGUUUCUGACGUUCAGGCACGAAAGCGUGGGUAGCGAAUGGG